rnacentral:rRNA from 1 species
ACUUUGAGACCGGCGCACGGGUGCGUAACGCGUAUGCAAUCUACCUUGUACAGAGGGAUAGCCCAGAGAAAUUUGGAUUAAUACCUCAUAGUAUAUUUGAAUGGCAUCAUUUGAAUAUUAAAGUUCCAACGGUACAAGAUGAGCAUGCGUCCCAUUAGUUAGUUGGUGUGGUAACGGCAUACCAAGACGAUGAUGGGUAGGGGUCCUGAGAGGGAGAUCCCCCACACUGGUACUGAGACACGGACCAGACUCCUACGGGAGGCAGCAGUGAGGAAUAUUGGUCAAUGGAGGCAACUCUGAACCAGCCAUGCCGCGUGCAGGAUGACGGUCCUAUGGAUUGUAAACUGCUUUUAUACGGGAAGAAAACGAGUUACGUGUAACUAACUGACGGUACCGUAAGAAUAAGGAUCGGCUAACUCCGUGCCAGCAGCCGCGGUAAUACGGAGGAUCCAAGCGUUAUCCGGAAUCAUUGGGUUUAAAGGGUCCGUAGGCGGUCUUAUAAGUCAGUGGUGAAAGUUUUUAGCUUAACUAAAAAAUUGCCAUUGAUACUGUUAGACUUGAAUUACUUGGAAGUAACUAGAAUAUGUAGUGUAGCGGUGAAAUGCUUAGAUAUUACAUGGAAUACCAAUUGCGAAGGCAGGUUACUAUGAGUUAAUUGACGCUGAUGGACGAAAGCGUGGGUAGCGAACAGGAUUAGAUACCCUGGUAGUCCACGCCGUAAACGAUGGAUACUAGUUGUUUGGCCGUAAGGUUGAGUGACUAAGCGAAAGUGAUAAGUAUCCCACCUGGGGAGUACGAACGCAAGUUUGAAACUCAAAGGAAUUGACGGGGGCCCGCACAAGCGGUGGAGCAUGUGGUUUAAUUCGAUGAUACGCGAGGAACCUUACCAGGGCUUAAAUGUAGUCUGACCGCUUUGGAAACAGAGCUUUCGCAAGACAGAUUACAAGGUGCUGCAUGGUUGUCGUCAGCUCGUGCCGUGAGGUGUCAGGUUAAGUCCUAUAACGAGCGCAACCCCUGUUGUUAGUUGCCAGCGAGUAAUGUCGGGAACUCUAGCAAGACUGCCAGUGUAACUGUGAGGAAG